UUGGAUGUUGGAAUGUGUCAAUGCCAUCCAGUAUCUGGCUAAUUGUGUCAUAUCCAACCGUCAAAUGUUCACCGGCGCACCGUUAGCGUUAGUCUGAAAAUGUCUACCUGGAAGGCACACAACCUCCUGAAUGUCAGCUACAUCAUUAAGCACACCAGAAUGGGUCGCAUAAUGGCAUCGCUCCCCUGGCCACUCUGUUCCCAAGAAGCUGUUAAUGGUGUUGGGGUCAUAACUGAUAAUAUGCCCCCUCACGAAGCUCUUAAAUCUCCCAGCGUUCACUCUUCCUCUGGGUACCGCGUUGGUGUAAAAUUCCUUCGCAACUCCACAUUGGCAGGUGCCGGGUAAGUCGUCAAUUUCUCCCAAUCUCUCCUCAAAAUUUCCUCCUCAAAUUCUGGAACCAAAUCAGGUAAAAAGGAGGUUUUCCUCUCCAUAAAUAACCUCCUUUCUUGUACAGUAGCAAAGUGUUCCUCAUGUUGCUUGGAGAGGAACCUUUGAGAGUCAAAUUCUCUCGAGCUUUCUGGCAUCUUCCUUUUGCCUGCAGUGUUUCUUGUCCGGCGCGAUGCUGAAGCCAUCUCUGUAACAAACACAAUAUGCCACAAACCAUAGAAAUCCAUUGUCAGGAGUUAAU
rnacentral:lncRNA from 1 species